rnacentral:rRNA from 1 species
GACGAACGCUGGCGGCGUGCUUAACACAUGCAAGUCGAACGGUGAAGCGCCUUCCUUUUUGGUGGGUGUGGAUGAGUGGCGAACGGGUGAGUAACACGUGAGUAACCUGCCCCCUUCUUCUGGAUAACCGCAUGAAAGUGUGGCUAAUACGGGAUAUUCUGGGUCUGUCGCAUGAUGGGUCUGGGAAAGAUAUUGUUUCGGUGGGGGAUGGGCUCGCGGCCUAUCAGCUUGUUGGUGGGGUGAUGGCCUACCAAGGCGGUGACGGGUAGCCGGCCUGGGAGGGUGGGCGGGUCACAGGGGACCGGGGCACCGCCCAGAAGUCCUAGGGGGGGAAGCGGUGGGAAAUAUUGCACAAUGGGCGCAAGCCUGAUGCAGGGACGCCGCGUGAGGUAGGGAGGCCUUCGGUGUGGGACCCUUUUUCGCAAGUGAAGAAGGCCUGCCUCGUUUGUGGGUGGUUGACGGUAGCUGGAUAAGAAGCGCCGGCUAACUACGU